rnacentral:rRNA from 1 species
UACAGAGGGUGCGAGCGUUAAUCGGAAUUACUGGGCGUAAAGCGCACGUAGUCGGCUUUGCAAGUCGGUUGUGAAAUCCCCGGGCUCAACCUGGGAACUGCAUCCGAGACUGCAUGGCUAGAGUACGGUAGAGGGGGAUGGAAUUCCGCGUGUAGCCGUGAAAUGCGUAGAUAUGCGGAGGAACACCGAUGGCGAAGGC